rnacentral:tRNA from 1 species
GCCUGGCUGGCUCAGUUGGUAGAGCAUGAGACUCUUGAUCUCAGGGUCAUAAGUUCGAUCCCCACAGUGGGCA